GAGGGAGGGAGAAAGGCAGAGAGAUUCAGAGACAGAGAAAGAGAUACGGGGAAAGAGAUGGACAGAGAGAGAGGGGACAGAGAAUGCUGUGGUCCGGCUGUCUGUUCCUGCAGAUCCCAGGCAGGGGCUGGGGGAGGGUCCUCUGUCUGAGGUCUGGGCCACCUGUCUGAAUGCUUGUCUCUGCUGGGUGGAGCUAUGGUUUGGUAGCUUGUUCCUGCUGGACUGGGGCUGCCUGGCCCAGGGUAAGGAAUCUGGGGCAAAUGGGUGGACCUCGUUUGGACAGCACCUGGCCAGCCAUAGCAUCUGGCUCUCACACCUUGGGAGGUGUCAUCCCUGACUCUUCCUUUUCCCAUCCCUCAAUUUGGGGAUGUGAAAUAUCCCAAUUUUGCAAGAUCGCAGUAAGGGUGACACUCAAGAGUCUGUCCAAUGAAAGUCACUGAACAUUGAAUAAUAACAUUUAUUAUUAAUAAUAUUUUCAUUAUUUUAUUAAUAAGAAUUAUUAAUAUUUUUUAUCAUUUUAUUCUUAAUAAUAAUAAAACUCACCCUUUGCAAUGUCAAGUACAGCGGCUGGGGGUAGGGAACACUCACCUGUUCUGUGAUUACAGGCUGCAUUCUCUGCAACACAAAAGCAAGCAAACUUUUGAGUGUCUGGACCGUCCCUGAAAGCCUCCUCCUCCCAAACUCAAAUUUCUCCCUCCAGGAAAACCAGCAAAACAGUGAGGGCUCUGGGAAGGCCUUCGGGCAGCAGUGGGGGCAAAAUAAUGAGCUUAGGAGUAAAUAGCACCUGACCAAAAGGUUUGUUUGUUUAUUUAUUUAUGAGACGGAGUCUCACUCCGUCACCCAGGCUGGAAUGCAGUGGCGUGAUCUCGGCUCACUGCAACCUCCGCCUCCCGGAUUCAAGUGAUUCUUUUGCCUCAGUCUCCCGAGUAGCUGGGACUACAGAUACUUCAAAUUACUUCUCCUAUGCAUUUGGAGAGCGGGAGAGAAAAACACCAGGAAGGAAGAGGGAACAAAGAAACUCUACAGGCAGAGACACAGGACUGAGCCGCGUUGGGGGCACUGGGAGGAGUGAGCCUUGGGGUUGCACCCUCGGAGCCCCACUGUCCUGGGAGCAGCCUUCAGAACCACCCUUUUGUUCUCUGAAGUACCAGGCGUUCAGCUUUUCCAAGGACUGGCAGCUGCACAUCUUUGUCCCUGCCCCUUCCAUCUCUAGGCUCAGCCCCGCUGGGCAGCCUGGCCCACUCCCCACCCCUGCCCAGGGCCAACCCCUACUUCCCAUGCCCCCUCUGCCCACCUGCAGCACACUGGAGCCUUGGAGGCCCUCUCUGCAUCAUUCAAGAUGCAGACUCCUACACUUUGACCUGCACACAUCCUCCUGAAGCUUCCACUUCCUGGCCCCUGCCUGGCUUCUCACCUCCCCCACCUCCGCCCCCCAGGGGAUGUGCCGCCUCUCCCAGUGGCCCAGGACAUCCUCCACUUCCCGGGAACCCCAGGCACUUCCACAUCCUCAGACACAGUGAGAAGAUGACCCUCUCUCCAAGCCAGGAAGAGACCUCCCGAGGAGCCCAGCCAGCCAGCACGCUGACCUCCAACGUCCAGCCUCUGGAAAUGGGAUACCGAAGGCUGCGCUCCUGCCCCGCACCAGGAUGUGGGAACUUUGAGAACCGCUGGAGAGUCGAGAGAUGUCAUCGAAACGACACCCGAUACGUGUUCCCUGAGCAUCCGUUUUGUAGUGAAGACACUCGUACUGUUGACGCCUGCUGCGGUAAGCGGAGACAGGGCAGGGCGAUCAGGAGCAGCGUGAGCCAAAGGAGGACCAUCGGGAACGCAGCUCCGGAACGCAGGACAGAGGUGCCUGCUGCAGGAGAAACGAGAGUCAGGCAGCGGGGACUGGCUGUGAAACUGGGUUGCGGGUAAUGAAGGAUGCUUGCCCCUUCCAGAGCCUGGUGCUCACAGCAGAAGGAGCUGCUUCUGGAGGGAAAGCGGUGAACAUUGUCACGACCCCAAAAGGAGACUCCAGACCCAUUAAAGACCCGUCCUUCCUCUUCCCCAGCCUGUGGCAACCACUCAUCCACUUUCUGUCUCUGUGGAUUUGCCUGUAUCUGGACAUAGGGAAUAAAUGGAAUCAUACAGACACUAUGUAUCUUUUUGUAUCUGGCCUCUCUCAGGAAGCAUGAUGUCCUCAGCAUUCACCCACAUUGCCACCUGUGGCAGAGCCUCGUUCCUUUUCAUGGCUGUGUAAUAUUCCACCGUGUGGCUGGACCACAUUAUAUUUCUCCAUUCAUCUAUAGAUGGGUAUGAGGACUCUCUCCACCUCUUGGCUAGUGUGAAUAAAGCUGCUUAUUCCUUUUCAUGGCUGUGUAAUAUUCCACCGUGUGGCUGGACCACAUUAUAUUUCUCCAUUCAUCUAUAGAUGGGGUAUGAGGGCUGUCUCCACCUCUUGGCUAUUGUGAAUAAAGCUGCUUGUUCCUUUUCAUGGCUGUGUAAUAUUCCACUGUGUGGAUGGACAUUAUAUUUUUCCAUUCAUCUAUAGAUGGGUAUGAGGGCUGUCUCCACCUCUUGGCUAUUGUGAAUAAAGCUGCUUGUUCCUUUUCAUGGCUGUGUAAUAUUCCACUGUGUGGAUGGACAUUAUAUUUCUCCCUUCAUCUAUAGAUGGGGGUAUGAGGGCUGUCUCCACCUCUUGGCUAUUGUGAAUAAAGCUGCUUGUUCCUUUUCAUGGCUGUAUAAUAUUCCACUGUGUGUCUGGACCACAUUAUAUUUCUCCAUUCAUCUAUAGAUGGGUACGAGGGCUGUCUCCACCUCUUGGCUAUUGUGAAUAAAGCUGCUUGUUCCUUUUCAUGGCUGUAUAAUAUUCCACUGUGUGGCUGGACCACAUUAUAUUUCUCCAUUCAUCUAUAGAUGGGUAUGAGGGCUGUCUCCACCUCUUGGCUAUUGUGAAUAAAGCUGCUUGUUCCUUUUCAUGGCUGUGUAAUAUUCCACUGUGUGGCUGGACCACAUUAUAUUUAUCCAUUCGUCUAUAGAUGGGUAUGAGGGCUGUCUCCACCUCUUGGCUAUUGUGAAUAAAGCUGCUUGUUCCUUUUCAUGGCUGUGUAAUAUUCCACCGUGUGGCUGGACCACAUUAUAUUUAUCCAUUCGUCUAUAGAUGGGUAUGAGGGCUGUCUCCACCUCUUGGCUAUUGUGAAUAAAGCUGCUUGUUCCUUUUCA